rnacentral:rRNA from 1 species
AUAGGCGGAGGAAAAGAAACUAACUAGGAUUCCCUCAGUAACGGCGAGUGAACCGGGAAGAGCCCAGCGCGAAAUCCCCGCAAGGGGAGAUGUCGCGUGUGGGAGGCCGCGAUCGGCGGUUCUUGCACGCAAGCCCAAGUUUCUCUUGAACGGGGCCACAGCCCACAGAGGGUGCCAGGCCCGUAGGACCGUGCGGAACCGUCGGAGCAGGCUCUCCUCAGAGUCGCGUUCCUUGAAAGUGGAGCGCAAAGUGGGUGGUAAACUCCAUCUAAGGCUAAAUAUGACCACGAGACCGAUAGCGAACAAGUACCGUGAGGGAAAGUUGAAAAGAACUUUGAAGAGAGAGUUCAAGNNNNNNNNNNNNNNNNNNNNNNNAAACGGAAGAGCACCGAAACAGUGUCGGAACACUCAUCCUUGUCCGGCGCGAGGGUCACCCGUCAUCGUACUCACGGCCAAGGUACCCGGAUAUGGGCUCGCGCCCAUCCGUCCGCGCGUCCUUGAACAUCCGUGUUGGUGCGGGGCCCGCGCGACCCGGUGGGGUGCACUUUUUCGGCAUGGACGUUGCGGCUCGCUAGGGGUCGACCAGAUGCCCGGGGGUUAAGAUCGGGGAGGGCUGUAGGUUCGAACCGAGCCUCGGAGUCAUGGUCGACCGACUGGCGGCUUAGUGGAGAUUUGCCCGCCGACUAGGGUGUUCGGACGGCGCCCGGCCCCGCGAGGGGACCGGGCGGAUGCAGCUUCUCCCAGCGGCGCUAACACAUUCGGGCGUUUUUCCGACNNNNNNNNNNNNNNNGACCAAGGAGUCCGACACGUGCGCGAGUCGUCGGGUGGCACUAAACCUGAAGGCACAGUGAAAGCGAGCGGACCGCCGAUCGGCGGUCCGCCACUAUUGGGAGGAUGGCGUUUCCUCUGACAGAGGGCGCCCGCACUCCCGCGGCGCCGUCCUCCGGGGCGGCGCACGUCGAGCGUACGCGUCGGUACCCGAAAGAUGGUGAACUAUGCCCGGCCAGGACGAAGCCAGGGGAAACCCUGGUGGAGGUCCGGAGCGAUUCUGACGUGCAAAUCGAUCGUCGGAGCCGGGUAUAGGGGCGAAAGACUAAUCGAACCAUCUANNNNNNNNNNNNNNNNNNNNNNNNNNNNNNNNNNNNNNGCACCCGUUGGACUUCUGAGUCUCAUCCGGUAAAGCGAAUGAUUAGAGGCCUUGGGGCCGAAACGACCUCAACCUAUUCUCAAACUUUAAAUGGGUGAGACCUCCGGCUUGCCUAAUCGAAGCCGGAGUGUCAGGAUCAGGGUACCGCGUGGGCCAUUUUUGGUAAGCAGAACUGGCGCUGCGGGAUGAACCGAACGCCAGGUUAAGGCGCCUAAAUCGGAGCUUAUAGGAUACCAUGAAAGGCGUUGGUCGCUAGGGACAGCAGGGCGGUGGACAUGGAAGUCGUAAACCGCUAAGGAGUGUGUAACAACCCACCUGCCGAAGCGACUAGCCCUGAAAAUGGAUGGCGCUCAAGCUCCGUGCCUAUACCUGGCCGCCAGAAGGCAAGGCACUGAUAGAUCCCGUAACAGGGUCGCGUUGUCACCAUGCCCUGGCGAGUAGGAGGGCGCGGCGGUGUGCGCAGAAGGGUCUGGCGUGAGCCUGCCUGGAGCCGCCGUCGGUGCAGAUCUUGGUGGUAGUAGCAAAUACUCGAGAGAGGCCCUCGAGGGCUGAAUGUGGGGAAGGGUUUCGUGUGAACAGCCGUUGCACACGAUUCAGUCGAUCCUUAGCCCUAGGAGAAAUCCGAUGCAGAUGCCGUCGGCUUUGGCCGGCGUUGGGCGAAAGGGAAUCCGGUUCCUAUUCCGGAACCCGGUAGCGGAACCGAUGUGUCGGGCCAUCUGACUAUGGUCGGAGUCUCGUCGGGGCGACCCAAAAGGACCCGGAGACGCCGUCGGGAGGCCCAGGCAGAGUUUUCUGUUCUAAAUAAGCGUUCGAGUUCCCUGGAAUCUUCCAGUAAGGAGAUAGGGUUUGGAGCGCGCAGAGCACCGCAGUUGCGGCGGUGUCUGGGUCGUCCCCUCGGACCUUGAAAAUCCGGGAGAGGGCUACGCGGAGGUAUCGCACCGGUUCGUACCCAUAUCCGCAGCAGGUCUCCGAGUGCGAGCCUCUAGUCGAUAGAU